rnacentral:lncRNA from 1 species
AGCAGUCCCCAGCACAAGAGGAAACACAGAACAGGAAGCUUAUACUCCUAAGGAGAUACAGAUGAUCAAUUCCUGAAUUAGACGGGAUGCCAUACACAGAUCCUUGAAUGGCUUUUGGGUCUUCUCCCAUGCUUGGAAGAGAAGUCACCAGCAGAACCUUUAUACUCGUACCCUAGAGCAGCGGUCAGCAAAUUAUAGCCUAUAAGCUA